CCCUAGCCCUGAUGGGAGGGAAAAUCCUUUUAUGCCGGGGUUCGGCAUAAAAGAUUGGAAGGACAGCAGGAAAUAGC
rnacentral:sRNA from 1 species